rnacentral:rRNA from 1 species
UCCCUGCUGGCGCGAACACGAUAAGCAUCACGCAUGGGAAUUACGGUGUCACGGCUAAAACUCAAACGAAAAAAGAAGGCCCCGCACACGCCACAAAGCGUGUGGCUUAUUUUUUAGUUACAAGAAAAGCCUAACACCUGUCCAACCUGUUACAUGUUGAUAGGGGAAAGCCUAAAGACCUUUCGUCAAGUGUACACAGUUGCUGACAGGUGGUCGUCAGCUGUUGUCAGGUGGUGUCGGGAGAAGUGCGGUAACGAGCGCCACCCUUGCCAAUACUCAUCAGUGUUUAAGGGGACUGCCGGGGGGAAGUCGGGGGAAGGUGGGGAUGAUGUCAGGUCGGCAUGGCCGGUAGGUCCCACGUUAUCCCCACGCUUCAAUGUUCGGUACCAAGGGUGGUGAAGUGGCAAGGACAAGGGAAUAUCCACAAAAAUCUUAGUAAUUCGGAUUUCAGGUUGCAACCAGCCUGCAAGAAGGUGGAAAUGGUUGGUACUGGGGGUCAAGCAUAGUGCGGUGAAUACGUUCCCGGGGCUUGUACACACCGCCCGUCCCGUCAUGGGAGUCGGUUAUGCCCGAAGCCGGUGGUCUGACCUUCAAUGGAGGCGCAUGUCUAAGGCAGGCCGCGCGACUGCGUCGAAGUCCUAACAA